CCGCUAGCAUCGAGAAGCGGAAGGAUGCAACGGCAAUUAAGAUCCAAGCCGCUUUUCGAGGUUAUCUAAUGAAUUGAUCUUUCUUUUUCAAAGAUUUGUGAGAAAGAAAGUACCUGACAGAUAUUGGAGGAAGAAGACCAAUAUCGAUGACGAUAGAGAGGAAAGCCACAUCAGAGACCAAUGGGAGGUGACGACGAAGAGAGUUGG
rnacentral:lncRNA from 1 species